rnacentral:RNase_P_RNA from 1 species
AGUCAAAGCUGGAUAAUCGCCUUGCCCCUCGCGAGGGGCAAGGAGGAAAGUCCGGACACCAAUAUCACAAGUAAUGGGUAACACCCAUCGGGUACGUUGAAAGAUGUAUUUAGGGAAAGUGCCGCAGAGACUAUACGGGCCAAUCAAACAUGCUCGCAUGUUUGACGGAGCUACCCCGCACCAAUUCCGAUCAUCUGCUUAUUUAUUCAAGCGCGAGAGCGAAGCGGCUCUGCCUUUCGUCUAUAGAUGUAUGAAAUUAGGUGGUUAGGAUUGGUGCGGGGUGCUCGAUUUUGUUGCUGCGCCUUCGCGCAGACAAAAUCGGCAAAAGGUGAAAAGCCGAUUGGUGUUUGAUAUUUUGCUCGCGCGAGGUAUUAAGCUGCAAUUGGAGCCGGACGGCAACGGCCGGAGCUUGGCAAACCCUGCUUGGUGCAAGUCUGCGUCCCGCCGCUUGUAAGCGGCGGGGAAGACGCUUGAGUCCGACGGCAACGUCGGGCCUAGAUAGAUGAUUAUCUCGUCCCUCACCACUUUUGCUGAUAAAAUUCGUGAGAUUUUUGAAAAAAGUCUUAACGAAAAAUCACGAAAAGUGGUGAGGGACAAGACAGAAUCCGGCUUAUAGGCCUUGACUAAUA